rnacentral:tRNA from 2 species
GAUAGGGUGUCUGAAGUUUAGGUAAUAAAUUGUAAAUUUAUUUAUGGUUAUUUUAACCUCCUAUCA